UCCAGGCAAAGCAGGAGCAGAACAGUCAGCUGCAGACGGCAGGUAACGAAGGAGGCGGUGAAGCAGGAGGCGUCGUCGUGCUCAGCCUCGACCACUUUCAGGGCGUCUUUCUCGUCCUCGUCUUCGGCUGCUUCGUCGGGGGUUUCGCAUUCGUCGGCGAGUUGGUUUUUCACAGGUACCACGGCAUGGGAUAUGCUCGUCAUCGACGCGGAUGAACUUCAGGAGACCAUCGAAAUAUCGCGCGCUAUAUGAAACUUGAGAUUAUGGAUAUACUACGAUGACCUGGCACUACAAUGCCUGGCUUCAAAAUCAUGUUGGAAUGUCAGCUGCGAUCAUGGAUAUUACUCAAUUUUCUUAAUAUCCACGUGGAUCAGUACUGGAAAACAUUCAGAUUAGCAUAAUUUAUGAAAAGCUAACCCACACUGCAGCUUCUUGGUCAAACCAGUGAACAGCUGGCACAGUCAUUACGUUAGUUAUCGAUUUAACUAAACUGCCAGCCAAUGAAGGAGUCAGGUGCGUCUAACCUGCGCUCAGCGGACUGCAAACGACCCUACUAUGAAACCGGACCUUGAUUUUGGCAUCAUCGCCGUCAUGAAUUGGUGAUACUCUUAAAAUUCGUCUUCUACUUACACAUUUUCUCUCAUCAAUUGAACAAAGGAGCCUAAAACAAUCUUGUAAAAAAUGAAGUCCAGCUGUUCGCCUCUCUGACAAUAUCGUAACUCCAACAGUAACGUACGGAAUGGAACCCGAAUGACGAAAACAGUUCAUACUGAAAAUAUUUAAUGAACUUUACUCACAAUUGACGCUACAAAUAAUUGAGUAAAUAACUCGCAACGCAUCA
rnacentral:lncRNA from 1 species